rnacentral:rRNA from 1 species
GGGGAAUUUUCCGCAAUGGGCGAAAGCCUGACGGAGCAAGACCGCGUGGGGGAUGAAGGUUUGUGGAUUGUAAACCCCUUUUGAUUGGGAAGAAUACUGACGGUACCAAUCGAAUAAGCCUCGGCUAACUCCGUGCCAGCAGCCGCGGUAAUACGGAGGAGGCAAGCGUUAUCCGGAAUUAUUGGGCGUAAAGCGUCCGUAGGUGGUUUAGUAAGUCUGCUGUUAAAGCGCGGGGCUUAACUCCGUAUCGGCAGUGGAAACUACUAGACUAGAGUGUGGUAGGGGUAGAGGGAAUUCCCAGUGUAGCGGUGAAAUGCGUAGAUAUUGGGAAGAACACCGGUGGCGAAAGCGCUCUACUGGGCCAUAACUGACACUGAUGGACGAAAGCUANGGGAGCGAAAGGGAUUAGAUACCCCUGUAGUC